CCGCCGACAUGGAGCUGCAGCGCCCCGUGGGGCCCCGCGGCCGCCCCGCCGAGCCCGGCAGGAUCUGUUGAAGACAUGCCUUUUGAAGUUACUGCCUCAAAAAGCGGGGGAAGUGCUACAAAUUAUGGAAAGAGAAUUCCCUACUCAAAGCAAUAGGAUUCUCUCACUGUGGAAUAAUCUCUGCGAGCACUGUGGACUCUGCAUAAAAUGGACACAUGGAGUCAUAUCUCUGCCAAAUACACCUAUUUCAGUGUUGGACUGGAUAUGCUUUGAAAUGGUGGGAAGAAAAAAACAACACAAAAUCUCUUUAGGAAGUGAGAACUAAAAGAGAACUGAACCCAAUUCCCAGAAAAAUCUCUGCAGCUUGUCAUAUAGUUGUGUUUUUUAACUAUUAUUAUUUUUAAAACCCUGGAAGGUUUGGAUAAAAAGCUCUUGCACAAUGAAAAGCUCUUGCACUGUUUUACCAAAGUCUGGAAGUUAAACUUACUGUGAAUUUUUAUAAUGCCAGUGCAAUACUUUUGUUUGUAAGGGUGCUUUUAAAAUACCUAUAUUAAACUAUUGAUGCAAAGCUGCAAAUGCAGUAGAAGUUGUUUAUAGUGUAAAUACACAGUUUACAGUGUCUCUUGUUAAGUUUCAUUGUUAUUUUGAAACAACCUGGAAUUUGAGGUUUUAGAAUUAGACAAGUAAAAUCAGCGAUAUUGGCGCACCGGUACGGUCUUUGUAGUUGUAGGUGAUGUCAUUUGAUGACUCUUGUAAAAGGCAUUUUUAGUCCAGUGAUGUUGGGAGUUAUUCUCCUAAUGCUGAAGCAUUUGAAGGAAGGGAAAAGACUAAAAGAAACUCUCUUGAUUAACAAAUACUCUGAGGUUUUAUAAAAUAUUAACAAACAGUACCUGGAAAAAAGACUUAUGUUAAUGAUACCUAAAAUUCUUGUAUGGAGAAAUUCCUCAUGAGUUCCUCUGCUUUUGGACUAAGAGUCUGAAUCCACCACCAGCAAAUACUGGAGCUGAUCCAUCAGUUAAGGAGGCUGUUAAGCGUAAAGAAGCACCAGAAUGUUACCGGGAUUGUGUGGCUAAACAAUGAGACAGAAAGUACUUGCUGUGGAGCAACAGUACCUAUUGUAAGUAUUGUAACUAUUUUGUUUUUGAAAAGGUAAACCAGUCACUGUUUCAUGAGAUCAAUUUGCCUUCUAAACAAGGAAGGCUAAUACUAAAUAGAAACUGGCAAUGGAAUUAUUAGCAGUUAAACAUUAACAAUUAUUUAACACUAUUUUAGUCUCAUGAUAUCCUUAUCAGCUGUAGCUGAAAGCAGCACAAAGUCCAUUCAAAGAACUUUUACAUUUUUGACUGGAAAGAAGUUCUUGUACAUGUAUAGAACUGCUUGCUGUUGUGUAAACACAGAGUUGUAGAGCUAAAGCUAGAAUUCAUUUAGACUUUAAGGACAGUCCUCUGCAUUCUGUUUAAAAACACGGCCAAAGUGACAAAGAACAAACUCCAUUUCCUGGAGUGUGAACACAAGAGUCUUUUGUAUCUUGUUAAUCCUUAAAACCAGCUCAAAAUGGCAUCCUAUACUCCACAUAAGGAAUAACACCAACCUCCUAACUUCUAACUAUGUGGAUGGAUUAAAUGCUUAUUAAACUCUUUAAAUGUGGACUGCACCUAAAGAAAGUUUUCAUGUGGUAAUAUUGUCUACUUAAAUGGGAACACCUUCAUCAAUGAGAGAUUAUAUUAUUAUGAACACCUACAAAAAUCUGUUUGUGACUUUUGGGAGUGAGAGUUGCUGGAAGGGAGGUAAUUAUUACAGGAGCAGUUUGUGUAGAGAAUUAGCCAAAGUGUUUAGCUGAUUGAGAGGGCUAAGGUCAAAUAAUGUCACAUGUUGCUGGAACUAGUUUGUGUGAAUUGGUGAAGUAAAUGUUAUGUAUUCAACCAAAGUAAAUUUUGAGGAGAUUGGGUGUUACUGAAGAACUAAACAGGAGAUGCAUGUCCCUGUUCAUUCUUAUCCAGGUGACUCUAACAGUAGUACUUGUGUGCGUGUGUAUACAAUGCUUUGAGAGGAAAACAGACCUAGCCUACAAGGAGAGGACGAAAGCAUCAGAAAUCUCGCUUAAAGUUCCUGUGCCUCUGUUCUAGCAAAUGCUUAAAUGCUUCCCAAGGUCAAAUUCCGUUUUGUUUAGACCAGAUUCUUGGCCUUCUUUAGUCUCAACUAAAGUUGUUCGAAUCAUUUAGUUUAUCCCUCCGAACUGCAGUGCUAGGUUUGAGUUGGAAACCCUGCAUGUCCUGGCCGGCCGUGCUCUUGGUGUCACCUCUGCUGUCGUGGCUCGGGGAAAGCUGCCCGCGGGACCGAGGGUUGCUUGCUUGUGCCAAAACUCGGCUUCGGAUCGCUCCACCGUGGCGUUGUGGAUAAACCUGGAACUCCCUUCCCUGCGCCCUGUUACCCUCCAGUGCUGGGGUCUGCUCCCACAGUGCCUCCGUGGAGCUUCCCGCUGCUCCUGCCCGGCUCCAUCCCCGCGCACCGGGGCGAGAAGAGCCCGCUCCGGACCCGUUCAGCUGUUCCAGCCGGGGCAGCGUCCCCUCGCUCAGACACCAGGGAAAGGAGGCACUUCAAAAAGGUGCUCCCCAGAUGGACACCCGCUUUGUAGACCUCCACACUCACAAGAGAAGGCAGCUGGUAGCAAACAGCAGAGAUUUGCGAGAGUAUAACGUGCAUCUGCAAAUGCACAUAGACUCC